GAUGACUGAGCACCUGGUGAAGGGGUUGCUGGCCCACGAAGCACAGGUGCAAGGAAUUCACAUGUGCUUCCCACGUGAGCAGAAGGGGCAGACCCUGGGCCCUCCCCUCCCUGGGCUCAUUUAAGGGCUGGACUCGAAGGGGAGAAUGCUUUGUGGAUGAAGGCUGCUUCCUGAGAGGGGAUAUUCUCUAUCACUAGUUGGCAGCUGGAACAGAAGAAUUUUUGCUGUGAUGUCCUCCAGUUGUCCUCUGCUGAAAUCUGAGCUAUCAUGCUGAGGUGCAGAAGACAAAAGCAAAGUCUAGGCUGUACCUGUCUUUCGUCGAUAUCCUGGAAUACUGGGGAAUGAAAGGAAAAAAAAAACCAACAUUGAUACAUUAUUCAUUAUUCAUGCCAGAGAAAGAGAGAGGCAGUGAUGGAGAAAAGAGAAGACAAGGCUUCUCCUUCAAGAGGAUGUUCCAGAUGCAGUACCCUGCAGGUGGUGAUUUACUGAGACUCUGAAUAUAACUUCUCACACCAAAGAGUGGCAGCAUUUCCUUGUUAUCUAUACCAUCAUCAGAUCAUAAAAUAGUGUGCACAGCACUUGAGCAGGAGCAAGAACCAUGUCCCACAGCUGCUGCAGGCACUGACCUCCUGCUACUGACAUUCCAGCUUUGAUCAAUGUCUUCAAGCAGUUGACUUCUGUAGCUGCUAAUUCAUAUACUUGUCCACGUUGACUUAAAUACAGAAGAAAGGAUAUGACAAAAUUGUGAACAUGAGGAAUAUGCCAUAAAUAUAAGUAAUGUUAUUAAUGUUAGGGCUUCUAGUAUAUGUUUCUCUUGACCUUACCUGGAGGAUUAUGCAAGGUAGGAUGAUCAUUUGUUCUUACUGAAAUCAGCAACAUAAGACAUUUGCUGGAGUUUAUCAGUACUGACUUUUGUUUGUUUUAUUUUUCUUCAAACUCUGGAAAAAUCCAGGAAAUCUUCAAUUUCAUGUGCCCUCUAUGGAAAUUUCUACACAUAUCAACACACAUAUAGGGCUUUGGCACACAUAUCAACCUGAAACAGAUUACUUUGUUUUCAGCAAGAAAAAUGAGAUUUCUUCUAGUAGUUUAGCAGUAAACAUUUAGAAAAUAGUUUAAAUUUUACUGCAAAGUAGCACAUUCUAAUAUUUAACAUUUUUUUUUUCUCUGAGCUAUUUUUUUAUCCUCUCUGUGGUCCCCUGCUAUGGCCUGUUCAGCUCUACUGAAAAAACAAGGGGUCAUGAUGACUCUUGUGAAUCUCUCAGAAAGCAUCAGCAGGAAGGGUAUGUUGCUUUGGGUGACCUUGUCCUGAAAGAGUUGUGUUCUUUUGUCUGUGUGUCUUUACUUGUUAUUUGUAGUCUAAGCUAGGCAUCUUCUCUAAAUCUAGCUUACUGAAUGAUUAAAACAUACAAACGAAUAAGUGAGUGAAUGAAGAAGACAUUAAUCUGCGAAGUAGAAACUGAGGCAGAUUAUUAUAUAUAAAUAAAAAUAUAUAAGUGUUGUAUUAGGACAUAAAGACACAGAUAGCAACUGCUGAUCCUAAAACUAUUCAUUUUUAUCAAAUCAUAGAAUGGACCUUUAAAGGUCAUCUUGUCAAACUCCCCUGCAAUGAGCAGAGACACCUACAGCUCCAUCAAGUGCUCAGAGCUCAGUCCAGCCUGACCUUGAGUGUCUCCAAGGAUGAGGCAUCUACCACCUCUCUGGCUCUCCCCAGAGCCUUCCUUUCUCCAGGCUGCACAGUCCCAGCUAUCUCAGCCUGUCCUCACAAUGGAGGUGUUCCAUCCCUUGGAUCAUUUCUGUGACCCUCCCAGGGUCAUCUUUUCUACCCUUCUUAAAAAUGGGUGUGAUGUUGCCUCUUUGCCAGUCACCAGGGACUUCACCUGACCACCAUGACUUCUGAAAUACAAUCAAGAAUGGCUUGGCAACUAUGUCAGACAGUCCCCUCAGGAAUCCAAGAUGUGCCUCAUCAGUACCCAUAGACAUAGGGAUGUUCAAUUUUCUCAAGCAGUUGCAAACCUGACCUUUGCUUAUAACAGGAGGGGUGAUGUUCCCCCAGUUCCCACCUUUCAAACCAUCCACCCAGUGGCUGUGUGUAGGGCUUCACGAGUGAAGACUGUGGCAAAAAAGUUGUGGAAUACCUCAGCCUUCUCUGUUGUUACCUGUGUUGCUCAUUUCAGGAUGGGGGGGGGGGGGGGAGGGGGACUGGACUUUCCUUUUCCCAUUGAUGUACACACAGAAACCUUUGUUACCUUUCUUUGUGCCCCUUGCCAAUCCAGUUCCAUCUGGGCCUUGGCUUUCCUGACCCCAUCCCUACACAGUCUAGCAGCAUCCCAAUACUCAUCCCAGGUUACCUGUCCCUCCUUCCACUGCCUGUGCAUUUUAUUCUUGCUCUCCAGUUUGACCAGCAGGUCCCAGUUCAGACACGCCUGUCUCUUGCCUUCUUUUCCUGACUUCCUCCACCAGGAGAUGGAGAACUCUUGUGCCCUGAAGAAAGCUUCCUUAAAGGCCUGUCAGAUCUGCUCCACUCCCUUGUCCUUGAGGACAGACUCCCUGAAGAGCUGCAAUUUGUUUUUCUUAAAAUUAAGCUUCCUGAUUUUUGAUCUUUGCCAAUCAGUGUCCCUCAAGAGCAUGAACUCCAGCAUUGCGUGGUCAGUAGAGCCCAAGCAGCCUCCAAUCCUGAUGCCACCAAUCCAUUCCACAGAGUCGUAGAGCAGCAGGUCCAGCACUGCAUUUUGUCUGAGGAGAAAAAAAAAAAAGCUCUCAACAAACCAGCACUAAAGGACAUAUCCCAAUCUGCCUUAUAUGGGAAUUGUGUUAAAAUGUAACAACCAUUUCAGAUAUAUAUAUUUUUUUUAAACAAAUGAGCUUGAUGGUGUUGCUUGAUGUUGCCUGAUGCAAUAGCUUAUACAAAGAGAAGCCUCUUUGUUAGCGAUUUGCUACCCCCUACCAACAUUAAAUAAGAAAUUCAGACAUCAAAGUCUGCCAUAGCCAUCAAAGCCACAAGCCCACUGCCAUCAAAGUCUACUGUAGUCAGAAUAGCUGAAAGUAGAACACACAACAGAACACUCUUUCAUAAGUGUAAAAGACUAUCAUUAUUUUUACUUUUCAUCUCCUGCACAUAUGUCCCAGGGAGAACUUGCAAUCUGUGCUUCCCAUUUCUGGAAACAAUUCACUAAACUUUGUAAACACUGGUGUUAUGCAUCUUUUGGGUACCCAUGGUUACAUAGAUGUAAAGAUCUCUUGAAUUACAUUCCGCUUCUCUGCUAGUUUCCAAGUCAGCAAGUGUUGCUGCUGCAGCAAAUACCAUGGGUCUGAACCCAAAGCCUACCUCUUUCACGCUCAGAGGUAAGACAAGACUGAGAACACUUCCAGCUCACUGGCAGGGAGCUGUGGGUUUCAU
ensembl:lncRNA